CUUACCUUACCUAAACGUUGGCUUCGGCGGGAAUAGACGGCCCCGUGAAAACGGUUCCGCCCCCGCCAGAGGACCCUUAACUCUGUUUCUUAUAGUGUAUCUUCUGAGUAAAACAAGCAAAUAAAUUAAAACUUAUCAACAACGGAUCUCUUGGCUCUGGCAUCGAUGAAGAACGCAGCGAAAUGCGAUAAGUAAUGUGAAUUGCAGAAUUCAGUGAAUCAUCGAAUCUUUGAACGCACAUUGCGCCCGCCAGUAUUCUGGCGGGCAUGCCUGUCCUCGAGCGUCAUUACAACCCUCAGGCCCCCGGGCCUGGCGUUGGGGAUCGGACGGACCUCGUGGGCGCCAC
rnacentral:misc_RNA from 1 species